rnacentral:rRNA from 1 species
AGACCCGAAACCCGGUGAUCUAGCCAUGGGCAGGUUGAAGGUUGGGUAACACUAACUGGAGGACCGAACCGACUAAUGUUGAAAAAUUAGCGGAUGACCUGUGGCUGGGGGUGAAAGGCCAAUCAAACCGGGAGAUAGCUGGUUCUCCCCGAAAGCUAUUUAGGUAGCGCCUCGUGAAUUCAUCUCCGGGGGUAGAGCACUGUUUCGGCUAGGGGGCCAUCCCGGCUUACCAACCCGAUGCAAACUGCGAAUACCGGAGAAUGUUAUCACGGGAGACACACGGCGGGUGCUAACGUCCGUCGUGAAGAGGGAAACAACCCAGACCGCCAGCUAAGGUCCCAAAGUCAUGGUUAAGUGGGAAACGAUGUGGGAAGGCCCAGACAGCCAGGAUGUUGGCUUAGAAGCAGCCAUCAUUUAAAGAAAGCGUAAUAGCUCACUGGUCGAGUCGGCCUGCGCGGAAGAUGUAACGGGGCUAAACCAUGCACCGAAGCUGCGGCAGCGACGCUGAUGCGUUGUUGGGUAGGGGAGCGUUCUGUAAGCCUGUGAAGGUGGCCUGUGAGGGUUGCUGGAGGUAUCAGAAGUGCGAAUGCUGACAUAAGUAACGAUAAAGCGGGUGAAAAGCCCGCUCGCCGGAAGACCAAGGGUUCCUGUCCAACGUUAAUCGGGGCAGGGUGA